GUGAACGCUGGCGGCAGGCCUCACACCUGCCAGUCGAACGGCAGCACAAGAGAGCUUGCUCUCUGGGUGGCGAGUGGCGGACGGGUGAGGAAUGCAUCGGAAUCUGCCCAUUUGUGGGGGAUAACCUCGGGAAACCGGGACUAAUACCGCAUACGACCUACGGGUGAAAGCAGGGGAUCUUCGGACCUUGCGCAGAUGGAUGAGCCGAUGCCGGAUUAGCUAGUUGGAGGGGUAAAGGCCCACCAAGGCGACGAUCCGUAGCUGGUCUGAGAGGAUGAUCAGCCACACUGGGACUGAGACACGGCCCAGACUCCUACGGGAGGCAGCAGUGGGGAAUAUUGGACAAUGGGCGCAAGCCUGAUCCAGCCAUGCCGCGUGUGUGAAGAAGGCCUUCGGGUUGUAAAGCACUUUUGUUGGGAAAGAAAAGCAGCCGGUUAAUACCCGGUUGUCAUGACGGUACCCAAAGAAUAAGCACCGGCUAACUUCGUG
rnacentral:rRNA from 1 species